AUUGAACGCUGGCGGCAUGCCUUACACAUGCAAGUCGAACGGCAGCACGGGGGGUAACCCCUGGUGGCGAGUGGCGAACGGGUGAGUAAUAUAUCGGAACGUGUCCUGUAGCGGGGGAUAACCUAUCGAAAGAUGGACUAAUACCGCAUACGACCUACGGGUGAAAGCGGAGGACCGCAAGGCUUCGCACUAUAGGAGCGGCCGAUAUCGGAUUAGCUAGUUGGCGGGGUAACGGCCCACCAAGGCGACGAUCCGUAGCUGGUCUGAGAGGACGAUCAGCCACACUGGAACUGAGACACGGUCCAGACGCCUACGGGAGGCAGCAGUGGGGAAUUUUGGACAAUGGGCGCAAGCCUGAGCCAGCCAUGCCGCGUGAGUGAAGAAGGCCUUCGGGUUGUAAAGCUCUUUCGGCGGGGACGAAACGGUUCGUGCUAAUACCACGGACUACUGACGGUACCCGCAGAAGAAGCACCGGCUAACUACGUGC
rnacentral:rRNA from 1 species